UGCGUAGGGUGCGAGCGUUAAUCGGAAUUACUGGGCGUAAAGCGUGCGCAGGCGGUGAUGUAAGACAGAUGUGAAAUCCCCGGGCUCAACCUGGGAACUGCAUUUGUGACUGCAUCGCUGGAGUGCGGCAGAGGGGGAUGGAAUUCCGCGUGUAGCAGUGAAAUGCGUAGAUAUGCGGAGGAACACCGAUGGCGAAGGCAAUCCCCUGGGCCUGCACUGACGCUCAUGCACGAAAGCGUGGGGAGCAAACAGG
rnacentral:rRNA from 1 species